AUUGAACGCUAGCGGGAUGCUUUACACAUGCAAGUCGAACGAGUGGCGGACGGGUGAGUAAUAUAUCGGAACGUGCCCAGUAGCGGGGGAUAACUACUCGAAAGAGUGGCUAAUACCGAAUAAUAUUGGAGCGGCCGAUAUCGGAUUAGCUAGGUGGUGGGGUAAAGGCUCACCAAGGCAACGAUCCGUAGCUGGUUUUAUCGGACGACCAGCCACACGUGGCCUGGUACAGGGCCCAGAAUCCUACGUGAGGCAGAAGUGGGGAAUUUUGGACAAUGGGGGAAACCCUGAUCCAGCCAUCUCGCGUGUAUGAGAAGGCCUUCGGGUUGUAAAGUACUUUUGGCAGAGAAGCGGUAUCUGCAGAAUAAGCACCGGCUAACUACGUGCCAGCAGCCGCGGUAAUAC
rnacentral:rRNA from 1 species